GAUGAACGCUGGCGGCGUGCCUAAUACAUGCAAGUCGAGCGAACAGACGAGGAGCUUGCUCCUCUGACGUUAGCGGCGGACGGGUGAGUAACACGUGGAUAACCUACCUAUAAGACUGGGAUAACUUCGGGAAACCGGAGCUAAUACCGGAUAAUAUAUUGAACCGCAUGGUUCAAUAGUGAAAGACGGUUUUGCUGUCACUUAUAGAUGGAUCCGCGCCGCAUUAGCUAGUUGGUAAGGUAACGGCUUACCAAGGCAACGAUGCGUAGCCGACCUGAGAGGGUGAUGGGCAACAGGGGAAGAGAGACCCGUCCCAGACCCCGGGGGGGGGCAGAGGGGGGGAUUCUUCCGCAAGGGGCGAAGGCCGGAGGGGGCAACGCCGGGGGAGGGAUGAAGUUCUGCGGACGAAAAAACUUUUUUAUUGGGGAAAAAAAAAUGGAAAUGUACUUAUGCGUGUCUGGAGGUACCAUAAUAAGAAAGCCAGGCAAAGGGAGGGC
rnacentral:rRNA from 1 species